GGUGGUGAAAAGUUUUGAUGUCUUCUCCUGCCCCCACACUUCAAGAGAAUCAAUGUGAAUUUACCUGAAGCUUAAAUCAGUUUCAAAUGAAACUUCAUUCUCAUACAAGCAUAUCAGACUUAUUCUGGAACCUCUAAAACUGUACUUGUAUACCCUGGAGGUGCCCCCUCUGCCUGCCAUUCAACUUUUAUUAGACUCAUUGUCUCUUUGUCGGUGAUUUCUGAGUCAUCCAGGGCAUCCAUUAGUUGUUCAAUGACAAGUUCACAGAUCUUGUAUCAGGAGAUGAACUCCUCGUAUGUUAAGGAUGCAACCCCUUACCCGAAUGAAUGUAUUCUUAGUAUUCAGACACUGUAUUUAUGUAUCAGUUGGAGACUGUCCACAUCCAACAUUUCAUUGCAAGGACAUUUCUACUCAUGAGCAGUUCAUCAUUCUGGGGCUUCUCCUUAUAUUAACAAUCUUUCCAUUGAGUCCUGCCAAAUCCUUUUUUGGUAUUUUUUUUCUCCUUUGCAUCUGUCACUUUGUCCAAAUGAGCAUGAAUAAGCAAGUGCAAAUAAGCUGAUACUAUUUUUGUGGUCAGCUGAGGAUGCUGCCAGGAACUCCACUGUAUAUCUGCAGCUUGGGAAUGUUAAGAGGAACACACGGGCCCCUCCCUUGAUGAUAUUCCCUUCAACAUUUUUAAACAAGC
rnacentral:lncRNA from 1 species